UCACAGUUUGCACUGGCAGUCUUGUUAGAGUUCCCGGCAUUACCCGCUGGCAACUGACCACAGGGGUUGCGCUCGUUAUAGGACUUAACCCAACAUCUCAGGACACGAGCUGACGACAGCCAUGCAGCACCUUGCUACCUGCCCGAAGGAAACCCCCUUUCAGGGGCUGUCAGGUAGCAUUCGAGCCUGGGUAAGGUUCUUCGCGUUGCAUCGAAUUAAGCCACAUGCUCCACCGCUUGUGCGGGCCCCCGUCAAUUCCUUUGAGUUUCAUUCUUGCGAACGUACUCCCCAGGUGGGUUACUUAUCACUUUCGCUUAGCCACUCAGUCUUACGACCAAACAGCUAGUAACCAUCGUUUACGGCGUAGACUAC
rnacentral:misc_RNA from 1 species